rnacentral:rRNA from 1 species
CAGUAGCCACGGUAAUACGUAGGUGGCAAGCGUUGUCCGGAAUUAUUGGGCGUAAAGCGCGCGCAGGCGGCCUGUCCAGUCUGUCUUAAAAGUUCGGGGCUCAACCCCGUGAUGGGAUGGAAACUAGUAGGCUAGAGUAUCGGAGAGGAAAGCGGAAUUCCUAGUGUAGCGGUGAAAUGCGUAGAUAUUAGGAAGAACACCAGUGGCGAAGGCGACUUUCUGGACGAAAACUGACGCUGAGGCGCGAAAGCCAGGGGAGCGAACGGGAUUAGAUACCCCUGUAGUCCCUGUCUCUUAUACC